UGCACACACACGGAGAAAAGGUCCUGUGAGCACACACUGAGAAGGGUAAUUAGCCAUACUUCAGGAAUGAGAACUACGAGGCUUGGUACUUACUCAUUCAUGAUCUAGGGAUGAAAAGACAAGCUCUUACUAAGUAAAAAAGAUUCUACUGUCAUUUGACUGGAAAUGGUGAUGCAGAAAGCCGUGACUGGGGAAAGGGUAUAGAUGCAGUUCCUGCCAAGGCAGCAAGGAAGACACAAAACAACACAAGGUGACGUUAAAAAUCGAGGGAUUGAGAGAGAGAGCCUUAAAAACAUACAAAAACAGACCUCCACAGACUUUAAGAGCGGUCCACAUGGAGAGAGAGAAAGAAAGUUGAAACUUCUGAGAGAAGAAUUUCAGAAGUGUUUAAAAUUGAUGAUAAGAAAAGCGACUCAUGAAGAAACCAUUCUCCACUGAGGGCUGAGAAAACAGGUACCAACCAUCCAACUUAAACCAAAGAGAACAUCAUCUAGCACCCUCGUGUCAAGCCCACUUCCACUCCCAGACCUGUUCCACCCUCUACCACUUAACUGCUGUGAGUGCAUCAAUGGCAAAACACUGAUGGAUUGAUACAUUGAGGAAAGGAUGCUGUUUCCAUUCUUAUGAUUUGAAGAGAAAGAAGUAUUUUUCAUUCUGACUUUGCUCUUAUGUCUAUGCACUGUCCUUAGUUAAUGUAUGAUGUUUUGGUCUAGUGGUAUAGUAGAUGCAGUGCUUGA